AAUAAUAGGAAACUGAGAAUUGUAGAAAAUUUUCUCUUUUUUUUUAAAUUUUCUCGAUCUACCAUCGAGUUUACUUUUUCUCUGGUCAUAAAAACCUCUCUCAUACACGAGCCGGGACCAACAUGUGACUUGUGACGUCAAAGGUCCCAGGACAAAGGUCUUAGUUUUAUUUAAGAAACAAACAACUCUUAGCCGAUACAACUAGAACACAUAGCCCUUCGUCUCCGGGGGGAACAUACGUAUUCUUUUAGGCACAAAGUGAACACGUUAGCGACAAUUACAAUAAAAAAAAACAAUAAAUAUUAAUAAAAAUAAUCAGUGUGAAAUUAGUGAAUUUUUAAUUGUGCAAGUUUUUUAGUAAUUCAUUUUAUAAACAAUUUUAGUGAAGUAUAAUAAACUCAUUAAAUAAAUAACUAGUGAUACAGAUCCAACAAAGAAGCAUUAUAAAUUUGGUCUUAUAAAAGAAAGAAUUGGAGGAGAAUGAGCUGUUUGCAGUGACGCCAGUAACAAAUCCGAUAUUAAUUAUCCGAGGAAAAGAAUUACACGAUGAUAACAAACGAUACAAUGUAGUACUCGAAAAACAAUGUCUGAUUGGAGUA